rnacentral:rRNA from 1 species
CAAGUCAUGGGGGUCCGCAAGGACAACCGGCGAACGGGUGCGUAACACGUGAGCGACCUGCCUGAGUGCGGGGGAUAGCCGGCCCAACGGCCGGGUAAUACCGCAUACGCUUGUUCGAGGGCAUCCUUGGACAAGGAAACCUCCGGGGCACUCAGAGGGGCUCGCGGCCUAUCAGCUAGUUGGCGGGGUAAUGGCCCACCAAGGCGACGACGGGUAGCUGGUCUGAGAGGAUGGCCAGCCACAUUGGGACUGAGAGACGGCCCAGACUCCUACGGGAGGCAGCAGUGGGGAAUCUUGCGCAAUGGCCGAAAGGCUGACGCAGCGACGCCGCGUGUGGGAGGAAGCUCUUCGGGGUGUAAACCACUGUUGCCCGGGACGAAUGAUGAGUUUGUACUCAUUUGACGGUACCGGGUGAGGAAGCACCGGCUAACUCUGUGCCAGCAGCCGCGGUAAUACAGAGGGUGCGAGCGUUGUCCGGAAUCACUGGGCGUAAAGGGCGCGUAGGCGGCUCGAUAAGCGUGCGGUGAAAGCCCGGGGCUCAACCCCGGGUCGGCCGUGCGAACUGUGGAGCUGGAGCACUGUAGAGGCAGGUGGAAUUCCGGGUGUAGCGGUGGAAUGCGUAGAGGUCCGGAAGAACACCGGUGGCGAAGGCGGCCUGCUGGGCAGUGGCUGACGCUGAGGCGCGACAGCGUGGGGAGCAAACAGGAUUAGAUACCCUGGUAGUCCACGCCGUAAACGAUGGGCACUAGGUGCUUGGGGGGAGCGACCCUCCGAGUGCCGGCGCUAACGCAUUAAGUGCCCCGCCUGGGGAGUACGGCCGCAAGGCUGAAACUCAAAGGAUUGACGGGGGCCCGCACAAGCGGUGGA